AAUUUUGGACAAUGGGGGAAACCUGGAUCUAGCCAUGUCGCGUGUAUGAGUAAGGCCUUCGGUUUGUAAAGUACUUUUGGUAGAGAAGAAAAGGUAUCCUCUAAAACGGGAUACUGCUGUCUGUAUCUGCAGUAUAAGCACCGGCUAACCACGUUCGAGCAGCCGCGGUAAUACGUAUGGUGCAAGCGUUAAUCGGAAUUACUGGGCGUAAAGCGUGUGUAGGCGGUUCGGAAAGAAAGAUGUGAUAUCCCAGGGCUCAACCUUGGAACUGCAUUUUUAACUGCCGAGCUAGAGUAUGUCAGAGGGGGGCAGAAUUCCACGUGUAGCAGUGAAAUGCGUAGAUAUGUGGAGGAAUACCGAUGGCGAAGGCAGCCCCCUGGGAUAAUACUGACGCUCAGACACGAAAGCGUGGGGAGCAAACAGG
rnacentral:rRNA from 1 species